rnacentral:rRNA from 1 species
AUUGAACGCUGGCGGCAUGCCUUACACAUGCAAGUCGAACGGCAGCACGGGUGCUUGCACCUGGUGGCGAGUGGCGAAAGGGUGAGUAAUACAUCGGCACAUGUCCUGUAGUGGGGGAUAGCCCGUCGAAAGCCGGAUUAAUACCGCAUACGAUCUACGGAUGAAAGCGGGGGACCUUCGGGACUCGCGCUAUAGGGUUGGCCGAUGGCUGAUUAGCUCGUUGGUGGGGUAAAGGCAUACCACGGCGACGAUCAGUAGCUGGUCUGAGAGGACGACCAGCCACACUGGGACUGAGACACGGCCCAGAGUCCUACGGGAGACAGCAGUAGGGAAUUUUGGACAAUGGGCGAAAGCCUGAUCCAGCAAUGCCGCGUGUGUGAAGAAGACCUUCGGGUUGUAAAGCACUUUUGUCCGGAAAGAAAUCCUUGGCCCUAAUACGGUCGGGGGAUGACGGUACCGGAAGGAUAAGCACCGGCUAACUACGUG